rnacentral:rRNA from 1 species
GGAAGCGUCUGGAAAGGCGCGCGAUACAGGGUGACAGCCCCGUACACAAAAAUGCACAUAUUGUGAGCUCGAUGAGUAGGGCGGGACACGUGGUAUCCUGUCUGAAUAUGGGGGGACCAUCCUCCAAGGCUAAAUACUCCUGACUGACCGAUAGUGAACCAGUACCGUGAGGGAAAGGCGAAAAGAACCCCGGCGAGGGGAGUGAAAAAGAACCUGAAACCGUGUACGUACAAGCAGUGGGAGCCUCUUUAUGGGGUGACUGCGUACCUUUUGUAUAAUGGGUCAGCGACUUAUAUUCUGUAGCAAGGUUAACCGAAUAGGGGAGCCGAAGGGAAACCGAGUCUUAACUGGGCGUUAAGUUGCAGGGUAUAGACCCGAAACCCGGUGAUCUAGCCAUGGGCAGGUUGAAGGUUGGGUAACACUAACUGGAGGACCGAACCGACUAAUGUUGAAAAAUUAGCGGAUGACUUGUGGCUGGGGGUGAAAGGCCAAUCAAACCGGGAGAUAGCUGGUUCUCCCCGAAAGCUAUUUAGGUAGCGCCUCGUGAAUUCAUCUCCGGGGGUAGAGCACUGUUUCGGCAAGGGGGUCAUCCCGACUUACCAACCCGAUGCAAACUGCGAAUACCGGAGAAUGUUAUCACGGGAGACACACGGCGGGUGCUAACGUCCGUCGUGAAGAGGGAAACAACCCAGACCGCCAGCUAAGGUCCCAAAGUCAUGGUUAAGUGGGAAACGAUGUGGGAAGGCCCAGACAGCCAGGAUGUUGGCUUAGAAGCAGCCAUCAUUUAAAGAAAGCGUAAUAGCUCACUGGUCGAGUCGGCCUGCGCGGAAGAUGUAACGGGGCUAAACCAUGCACCGAAGCUGCGGCAGCGACACUAUGUGUUGUUGGGUAGGGGAGCGUUCUGUAAGCCUGUGAAGGUGGCCUGUGAGGGUUGCUGGAGGUAUCAGAAGUGCGAAUGCUGACAUAAGUAACGAUAAAGCGGGUGAAAAGCCCGCUCGCCGGAAGACCAAGGGUUCCUGUCCAACGUUAAUCGGGGCAGGGUGAGUCGACCCCUAAGGCGAGGCCGAAAGGCGUAGUCGAUGGGAAACAGGUUAAUAUUCCUGUACUUGGUGUUACUGCGAAGGGGGGACGGAGAAGGCUAUGUUGGCCGGGCGACGGUUGUCCCGGUUUAAGCGUGUAGGCUGGUUUUCCAGGCAAAUCCGGAAAACCAAGGCUGAGGCGUGAUGACGAGGCACUACGGUGCUGAAGCGACAAAUGCCCUGCUUCCAGGAAAAGCCUCUAAGCAUCAGGUAACAUCAAAUCGUACCCCAAACCGACACAGGUGGUCAGGUAGAGAAUACCAAGGCGCUUGAGAGAACUCGGGUGAAGGAACUAGGCAAAAUGGUGCCGUAACUUCGGGAGAAGGCACGCUGAUAUGUAGGUGAAGCGACUUGCUCGUGGAGCUGAAAUCAGUCGAAGAUACCAGCUGGCUGCAACUGUUUAUUAAAAACACAGCACUGUGCAAACACGAAAGUGGACGUAUACGGUGUGACGCCUGCCCGGUGCCGGAAGGUUAAUUGAUGGGGUUAGCGGUAACGCGAAGCUCUUGAUCGAAGCCCCGGUAAACGGCGGCCGUAACUAUAACGGUCCUAAGGUAGCGAAAUUCCUUGUCGGGUAAGUUCCGACCUGCACGAAUGGCGUAAUGAUGGCCAGGCUGUCUCCACCCGAGACUCAGUGAAAUUGAACUCGCUGUGAAGAUGCAGUGUACCCGCGGCAAGACGGAAAGACCCCGUGAACCUUUACUAUAGCUUGACACUGAACAUUGAGCCUUGAUGUGUAGGAUAGGUGGGAGGCUUUGAAGUGUGGACGCCAGUCUGCAUGGAGCCGACCUUGAAAUACCACCCUUUAAUGUUUGAUGUUCUAACGUUGGCCCGUAAUCCGGGUUGCGGACAGUGUCUGGUGGGUAGUUUGACUGGGGCGGUCUCCUCCUAAAGAGUAACGGAGGAGCACGAAGGUUGGCUAAUCCUGGUCGGACAUCAGGAGGUUAGUGCAAUGGCAUAAGCCAGCUUGACUGCGAGCGUGACGGCGCGAGCAGGUGCGAAAGCAGGUCAUAGUGAUCCGGUGGUUCUGAAUGGAAGGGCCAUCGCUCAACGGAUAAAAGGUACUCCGGGGAUAACAGGCUGAUACCGCCCAAGAGUUCAUAUCGACGGCGGUGUUUGGCACCUCGAUGUCGGCUCAUCACAUCCUGGGGCUGAAGUAGGUCCCAAGGGUAUGGCUGUUCGCCAUUUAAAGUGGUACGCGAGCUGGGUUUAGAACGUCGUGAGACAGUUCGGUCCCUAUCUGCCGUGGGCGCUGGAGAACUGAGGGGGGCUGCUCCUAGUACGAGAGGACCGGAGUGGACGCAUCACUGGUGUUCGGGUUGUCAUGCCAAUGGCACUGCCCGGUAGCUAAAUGCGGAAGAGAUAAGUGCUGAAAGCAUCUAAGCACGAAACUUGCCCCGAGAUGAGUUCUCCCUGAGACUUAGAGUCUCCUGAAGGAACGUUGAAGACGACGACGUUGAUAGGCCGGGUGUGUAAGCG